rnacentral:sRNA from 1 species
AAACCAAGCCGGGCGCCUCUUGCAAUGGAGACGGUCAUUUCUUCAGAUAGCUCCCCAGCUCUGGAAAAUGAGCAUCCUCAAGAGACCCCAGAAUCCAACAAUAGCGUGUAUACUUCCUUCAUGAAGUCUCAUCGCUGCUAUGACCUGAUUCCCACAAGCUCCAAAUUGGUUGUAUUUGAUACGUCCCUGCAGGUGAAGAAAGCUUUUUUUGCUUUGGUGACUAACGGUGUACGAGCUGCCCCUUUAUGGGAUAGUAAGAAGCAAAGUUUUGUGGGCAUGCUGACCAUCACUGAUUUCAUCAAUAUCCUGCACCGCUACUAUAAAUCAGCCUUGGUACAGAUCUAUGAGCUAGAAGAACACAAGAUAGAAACUUGGAGAGAGGUGUAUCUCCAGGACUCCUUUAAACCGCUUGUCUGCAUUUCUCCUAAUGCCAGGUGAGUUCCAGUUACCCAUCUGUCCAAAAAGUGGAAGAGAUUUUGCCAUCAGCCUAGCUAAUGCCCUAGACACCCAGGGAAAGGGGAAGAAGAGAGAAAAGACACACACACACACACACACACACACACACACACACACACAGUCUCUCUCUCUCUCUCUCACUCUCUCUCUCUCUCUCUCUCUUUAAGUCUGGCCUGUACACUGCCCCCUUCCCUAACCAUCAGUUUUCCCUGUUUAGCAAUACACUGUAUGGACCUGUUUAAUCACCCUCAGCCCCAGCACUGUGGAACUUAUUAUCUCCCACCCUCUCACAGCUUGUUUGAUGCUGUCUCUUCAUUAAUUCGGAACAAGAUCCACAGGCUGCCAGUUAUUGACCCAGAAUCAGGCAAUACUUUGUACAUCCUCACCCACAAGCGCAUUCUGAAGUUCCUCAAAUUGUUUAUCACUGAGUUCCCCAAGCCAGAGUUCAUGUCCAAGUCUCUGGAAGAGCUACAGAUUGGCACCUAUGCCAAUAUUGCUAUGGUUCGCACUACCACCCCCGUCUAUGUGGCUCU